rnacentral:sRNA from 1 species
AAUUAGCCCCGAUUGCAGUGGAAAUCCUUUUAUUCUGGAGUUCAGAAUAAAAGAUUGAAGCGGAAAGCGGGAAACUAU